CAGGGCAACGUCAAGAGUUUCUUCUCUCAUUUUGCUGUCCUCGUGGUGUUAGCCUGCUCAGUCUGAUGCAUUUCUGGAUUCCAAUCUGAAAUUCUUCUGCAAAUUUCUUCAAGAAGGGAACUGAAGGAAGUCUGCAGUCUGUGGACCUGAUGCCAGACCCCACCAGCUGGGCUGUACCCAACUUGUGCUGGCCCCAGAUCAGCUGGGACUGGGAGGCUACAUCUCAGUGCUGAGGGCUCUGUUCAGCCUGUCUUCCUUGAUGCUCUUGUCCAAGAAUUUGUUGCAGCCCCUCAGGAGGUAACAUUUGUGGAGGUGGAAAGGAACGCCAUGUGUCUGGCAAAAUUUUGAGAAGGCUCAAGGCGUUAAAGAAAGCUCAUCUAAAUAAAGGAGGGUCAACGUGACAUUG